AACGAACGCUGGCGGCAGGCCUAACACAUGCAAGUCGAGCGCCCCGCAAGGGGAGCGGCAGACGGGUGAGUAACGCGUGGGAAUCUACCCAUCCCUACGGAACAACUCAGGGAAACUUGAGCUAAUACCGUAUACGCCCUCCGGGGGAAAGAUUUAUCGGGGAUGGAUGAGCCCGCGUUGGAUUAGCUAGUUGGUGAGGUAAUGGCUCACCAAGGCGACGAUCCAUAGCUGGUCUGAGAGGAUGAUCAGCCACACUGGGACUGAGACACGGCCCAGACUCCUACGGGAGGCAGCAGUGGGGAAUAUUGGACAAUGGGCGAAAGCCUGAUCCAGCCAUGCCGCGUGAGUGAUGACGGCCCUAGGGUUGUAAAGCUCUUUCAACGGUGAAGAUAAUGACGGUAACCGUAGAAGAAGCCCCGGCUAACUUCGUGCCAGCCGCCGCCGUAAUAC
rnacentral:rRNA from 1 species